rnacentral:rRNA from 1 species
UCGAUUCCCUUAGUAGCGGCGAGCGAAACGGGAAGAGCCCAAACCAACAAGCUUGCUUGUUGGGGUUGUAGGACACUCUAUACGGAGUUACAAAGGACGACAUUAGACGAAUCAUCUGGAAAGAUGAAUCAAAGAAGGUAAUAAUCCUGUAGUCGAAAAUGUUGUCUCUCUUGAGUGGAUCCUGAGUACGACGGAGCACGUGAAAUUCCGUCGGAAUCUGGGAGGACCAUCUCCUAAGGCUAAAUACUCUCUAGUGACCGAUAGUGAACCAGUACCGUGAGGGAAAGGUGAAAAGCACCCCGGAAGGGGAGUGAAAUAGAACCUGAAACCGUGUGCUUACAAGUAGUCAGAGCCCGUUAAUGGGUGAUGGCGUGCCUUUUGUAGAAUGAACCGGCGAGUUACGAUUUGAUGCAAGGUUAAGCAGUAAAUGUGGAGCCGUAGCGAAAGCGAGUCUGAAUAGGGCGUUUAGUAUUUGGUCGUAGACCCGAAACCAGGUGAUCUACCCUUGGUCAGGUUGAAGUUCAGGUAACACUGAAUGGAGGACCGAACCGACUUACGUUGAAAAGUGAGCGGAUGAACUGAGGGUAGCGGAGAAAUUCCAAUCGAACCUGGAGAUAGCUGGUUCUCUCCGAAAUAGCUUUAGGGCUAGCCUCAAGUGAUGAUUAUUGGAGGUAGAGCACUGUUUGGACGAGGGGCCCCUCUCGGGUUACCGAAUUCAGACAAACUCCGAAUGCCAAUUAAUUUAACUUGGGAGUCAGAACAUGGGUGAUAAGGUCCGUGUUCGAAAGGGAAACAGCCCAGACCACCAGCUAAGGUCCCAAAAUAUAUGUUAAGUGGAAAAGGAUGUGGCGUUGCCCAGACAACUAGGAUGUUGGCUUAGAAGCAGCCAUCAUUUAAAGAGUGCGUAAUAGCUCACUAGUCGAGUGACACUGCGCCGAAAAUGUACCGGGGCUAAACAUAUUACCGAAGCUGUGGAUUGUCCUUUGGACAAUGGUAGGAGAGCGUUCUAAGGGCGUUGAAGCAUGAUCGUAAGGACAUGUGGAGCGCUUAGAAGUGAGAAUGCCGGUGUGAGUAGCGAAAGACGGGUGAGAAUCCCGUCCACCGAUUGACUAAGGUUUCCAGAGGAAGGCUCGUCCGCUCUGGGUUAGUCGGGUCCUAAGCUGAGGCCGACAGGCGUAGGCGAUGGAUAACAGGUUGAUAUUCCUGUACCACCUAUAAUCGUUUUAAUCGAUGGGGGGACGCAGUAGGAUAGGCGAAGCGUGCGAUUGGAUUGCACGUCUAAGCAGUAAGGCUGAGUAUUAGGCAAAUCCGGUACUCGUUAAGGCUGAGCUGUGAUGGGGAGAAGACAUUGUGUCUUCGAGUCGUUGAUUUCACACUGCCGAGAAAAGCCUCUAGAUAGAAAAUAGGUGCCCGUACCGCAAACCGACACAGGUAGUCAAGAUGAGAAUUCUAAGGUGAGCGAGCGAACUCUCGUUAAGGAACUCGGCAAAAUGACCCCGUAACUUCGGGAGAAGGGGUGCUCUUUAGGGUUAACGCCCAGAAGAGCCGCAGUGAAUAGGCCCAAGCGACUGUUUAUCAAAAACACAGGUCUCUGCUAAACCGUAAGGUGAUGUAUAGGGGCUGACGCCUGCCCGGUGCUGGAAGGUUAAGAGGAGUGGUUAGCUUCUGCGAAGCUACGAAUCGAAGCCCCAGUAAACGGCGGCCGUAACUAUAACGGUCCUAAGGUAGCGAAAUUCCUUGUCGGGUAAGUUCCGACCCGCACGAAAGGCGUAACGAUUUGGGCACUGUCUCAACGAGAGACUCGGUGAAAUCAUAGUACCUGUGAAGAUGCAGGUUACCCGCGACAGGACGGAAAGACCCCGUGGAGCUUUACUGUAGCCUGAUAUUGAAAUUCGGCACAGCUUGUACAGGAUAGGUAGGAGCCUUUGAAACGUGAGCGCUAGCUUACG